CCUACGGGUGGCAGCAGUGGGGGAUAUUGCACCAUGGAGGGAACUCUGAUGCAGCAACGCCGCGUGAGGGAAGAAGGUUUUCGGAUUGUAAACUUCUUUUAAGAGGGAAGAGCAGAAGACGGUACCUCUUGAAUAAGACACGGCUAACUACGUGCCAGCAACCGCGGUAAUACGUAGGUGGCAAGCGUUGUCCGGCUUUACUGGGUGUACAGGGCGUUCAACAGGGAAGACAAGGCAGAUGUGAAAUCCCGCGGCGUAACCGCGGAACUGCAUUUGACACUGUUUGUCUUGAGUACCGGAGAGGUCAUCGGAACUCCUUGUGUAGCGGUGAAAUGCGUAGAUAUAAGGAAGAACACCAGUGGCGAAGGCGGAUGACUGGACGGCAACUGACGGUGAGGCGCGAAAGCGUGGGGAGCAAACAGGAUUAGAUACCCUUGUAGUC
rnacentral:rRNA from 1 species